rnacentral:tRNA from 1 species
GUAUUCGCAGUUCUAAGAACACUUUUCGCUAGAGAAAUUAACUAAUAUC